CUAAGAAUAUUCCGCAAUGGACGGAAGUCUGACGGAGCGACGCCGCGUGGAUGACGAAGGCCGAAAGGUUGUAAAGUUCUUUUGCUGGGGAAGAAUAACCGCAGGAGGGAAUGCCUGUGGGAUGACAAGAACCGGCGAAUAAGCCCCGGCCAACUACGUGCCAGCAGCCGCGGUAACACGUAGGGGGUCGAGCGUUGUUCGGAAUUACUGGGCGUAAAGGGCAUGUGGGCGGCUUGGAAAGCCUGGCGUGAAAGUCUGCAGCUUAACUGCAGGGGUGCGCUGGGAACUGCUGAGCUUGAGUGACGGAGAGGGAGCUGGAAUUCCUGGUGUAGGGGUGAAAUCUGUAGAUAUCAGGAAGAACACCGAUGGCGAAGGCAAGCUCCUGCCGAUGACUGACGCUGAGGUGCGAAAGUGUGGGGAUCAAAACAGGAUUAGAUACCCUGGUAGUCCACACAGUCAACGAUGUGCACUAGGUGCUGGGGCGGUAGCUUCGGUGCCGGAGCGAACGUGGUAAGUGCACCGCCUGGGGAGUAUGCUCGCAAGGGU
rnacentral:rRNA from 1 species